UUGCUUUUUACUAUUAGGUGUUUGUAACAACAAUAUGAAAGGAGUCCCACUAAGUAAGUGUCUCUUGUUUAUUUAAGAGGAAGAGUUAUUUGUGACAGCUGUGGAAAUGUUGCCCAUUUAGUAAGGUUACAACAUGGCAGAAGGUUUAGGUCGCUUAAGGUACGAGAGAAAUGGUCAGGAGUACAAAAAAAACAUUGGCAAACAGUGAUGAAAUCACCGUGUUAGUCAUACGUGACACAGAACAACCCACGGGUAUGAGAUCAUGUGGUGGCCCCGCCAGUGUUAGACGUGUUACUUUAUCCCACUGUGGAAGUCUUUAAAGGUAUAUCUUUGUUUAAGAGUGAUGAAAAGCUGUAGAAGUUGAACCAGUGGCAGUUACAGUCCAGGGACUCCCCCUUUAUGGCGUACUAACUAAAAGGCUUCACACUGCACAGGCGCACUUCGCCGCCAGACACGCUUCACUGAAACAUAAAAAUAAACUUACCUAAAUUACCAGAAUCAGCCUUUCUUCUUGAAAUCCGUUUGAGCAGAAAGCAAAGGAUAGAAAGUCGGAGUCCUCCCUCAGCCACUCCGCUUUUUAUGGCCGAAGUUUAGAGGAAGAGCAGCGAAACAAUACCGUCUGUCUGCCAGUUUGACCCUUGUCUUAUUUAUCAAGCAGCUCGACGGAUUACUUGUCGGGAUACAAAGAUGAGAGGCGACCAAGUUUGUCGCCUUUCGUAGGAGUUCGGUCCCCCGACUAAGUCCUGCCGAAGUCCGGCUCAAAUAUCUCAAUCCGUGAGAUUUAGGUCUGAUGAUCGAGGCGAGGCGGAGCUGAGGACCAGGAAGCCCACAAGGCCCAACUCUCCCACAGUGACGGCAGGGUGGGUGUGCCAGUCUGGGAGAGCUGGCCAUGGAUUGGAGGGAGGAGGCGCCUGUAUAAUAAAUCCGUGGCAGUAGGCUAAACAUUAUCACGUCAACCCUCCACUGGUCACCCCCCAAAUCAGGCCCACAGACAUCUGAAUGUUUAACCAGAAUCACAAUCUUCUCAUUUCAAUAUGAAGAGCAUCCAACUCUUAACUUCCUUUCUUGGAGCAGCAAAUAAAAAGGGUUCAAGAAGUUGCAAUUUA